rnacentral:rRNA from 1 species
AUUGAACGCUGGCGGCAUGCCUUACACAUGCAAGUCGAACGGUAACAGGCCGCAAGGUGCUGACGAGUGGCGAACGGGUGAGUAAUGCAUCGGAACGUGCCCAGUCGUGGGGGAUAACUGCUCGAAAGAGCAGCUAAUACCGCAUACGACCUGAGGGUGAAAGCGGGGGACCGUAAGGCCUCGCGCGAUUGGAGCGGCCGAUGUCAGAUGAGCUCGUUGGUGGGGUAAAGGCCUACCAAGGCAACGAUCUGUAGUUGGUCUGAGAGGACGACCAGCCAUACUGGGACUGAGACACGGCCCAGACUCCUACGGGAUGCAGCAGUGGGGAAUUUUGGACAAUGGGCGCAAGCCUGAUCCAGCAAUGCCGCGUGCAGGAAGAAGGCCUUCGGGUUGUAAACUGCUUUUGUCAGGGAAGAAAUCUUCUGGGCUAAUACCCCGGGAGGAUGACGGUACCUGAAGAAUAAGCACCGGCUAACUACGUGCCAGCCGCCGCCGUAAAAC